rnacentral:rRNA from 1 species
UCAUAUAGCCAUGCCACCCUGAAGAAGCCAGAUCCCAUCUGAUCUUGGAAGCUAAGCAGGGUCGGGUCUGGUUAGUACUUGGAUGGGAGACCACCUAGGAAGACCAGGUGCUGCAGGUG